UUACCAAACAGCCCAUAAGUUUCAGCUGCGCUAAAGGAAAUUCCGAGGCAAGUUUUGGCGAGUUUUGGUGAAUUUCGGGAAAGGUUCAAGAGACGACGAGGCGAGCAUAGUUAAGAGUAAUCCGUAAGAGGUACAGAUGAUUGGUUUGCUGAUCCGCUCGCUUAGGACAUCCACCAUGUUGGUCGACAGUG